GCCUUAGUAAUGUAAUGGUAGCACACUCGGCGCGUAUUCGAGAGGUCUGUGGUUCAAAUCCCGGCGAGGGCA
rnacentral:tRNA from 1 species